AGUUUCAAAGCGUAGGUAUAAAUACCGGCACUCCGAGGUGGAUGAGGGUCUGCACAUUUAAAUCUCCGGAGAAGAUUCCAGCUCCGAAGAACAUAAUCGCUGCAACAAUCACGGCAAGUCCAACGCCCAGAACGAAACUCAUCUGCAUUAGCAACGCCCAACGAGGCCAUCAGCGAGGAGGGAUGAUGUCAUCCAGACUUGCAAGCAAGUUUGGAAGGCAGCCAUUGGUGUCGGACCUAGACGAGCAGCCAUGGAUGCAGCAAGUGUCACACAAAAGGUGCAAAUCUCUGUAGUUGGAGAAGAGGAACAUAUAGAGAAAUGAGUAUUACCAUUUUUUAGAAACCGACCAAACUGCAAAUCUCUAAGGCUAGGGGGUAAGAGAUUAACUUUUUGCAUCAAUCUCCAAGCAAGGACCAACACAAUUAGGUACCUGAGGUAAUAAAAAUAGCAAGUUAUGAAUGAAAGUAUUGGA